GAUGAACGCUGGCGGCGUGCCUAAUACAUGCAAGUCGAGCGAACGGACGAGAAGCUUGCUUCUCUGAUGUUAGCGGCGGACGGGUGAGUAACACGUGGAUAACCUACCUAUAAGACUGGGAUAACUUCGGGAAACCGGAGCUAAUACCGGAUAAUAUUUUGAACCGCAUGGUUCAAAAGUGAAAGACGGUCUUGCUGUCACUUAUAGAUGGAUCCGCGCUGCAUUAGCUAGUUGGUAAGGUAACGGCUUACCAAGGCAACGAUGCAUAGCCGACCUGAGAGGGUGAUCGGCCACACUGGAACUGAGACACGGUCCAGACUCCUACGGGAGGCAGCAGUAGGGAAUCUUCCGCAAUGGGCGAAAGCCUGACGGAGCGACGCCGCGUGAGUGAUGAAGGUCUUCGGAUCGUAAAACUCUGUUAUUAGGGAAGAACAUAUGUGUAAGUAACUGUGCACAUCUUGACGGUACCUAAUCAGAAAGCCACGGCUAACUACGUGCCAGCAGCCGCGGUAAUACGUAGGUGGCAAGCGUUAUCCGGAAUUAUUGGGCGUAAAGCGCGCGUAGGCGGUUUUUUAAGUCUGAUGUGAAAGCCCACGGCUCAACCGUGGAGGGUCAUUGGAAACUGGAAAACUUGAGUGCAGAAGAGGAAAGUGGAAUUCCAUGUGUAGCGGUGAAAUGCGCAGAGAUAUGGAGGAACACCAGUGGCGAAGGCGACUUUCUGGUCUGUAACUGACGCUGAUGUGCGAAAGCGUGGGGAUCAAACAGGAUUAGAUACCCUGGUAGUCCACGCCGUAAACGAUGAGUGCUAAGUGUUAGGGGGUUUCCGCCCCUUAGUGCUGCAGCUAACGCAUUAAGCACUCCGCCUGGGGAGUACGACCGCAAGGUUGAAACUCAAAGGAAUUGACGGGGACCCGCACAAGCGGUGGUGCAUGUGGUUUAAUUCGAAGCAACGCGAAGAACCUUACCAAAUCUUGACAUCCUUUGACAACUCUAGAGAUAGAGCUUUCCCCUUCGGGGGACAAAGUGACAGGUGGUGCAUGGUUGUCGUCAGCUCGUGUCGUGAGAUGUUGGGUUAAGUCCCGCAACGAGCGCAACCCUUAAGCUUAGUUGCCAUCAUUAAGUUGGGCACUCUAAGUUGACUGCCGGUGACAAACCGGAGGAAGGUGGGGAUGACGUCAAAUCAUCAUGCCCCUUAUGAUUUGGGCUACACACGUGCUACAAUGGACAAUACAAAGGGCAGCGAAACCGCGAGGUCAAGCAAAUCCCAUAAAGUUGUUCUCAGUUCGGAUUGUAGUCUGCAACUCGACUACAUGAAGCUGGAAUCGCUAGUAAUCGUAGAUCAGCAUGCUACGGUGAAUACGUUCCCGGGUCU
rnacentral:rRNA from 1 species